UAUAUAUAUAUAUAUAUACUCAUGGCAAUCAAAUUGCCCAAACUUGAAAAAUAUUGGAUUGGUGUGGAUAAUGAGGAAAACUAUUUGGAUGGUGAGUUAUUUUUACAAUUAAUCGUUGAUAAUUAUAACUAUCUUUUGUUUUCCUCAAUAAUGCAAUCAUUGAGAUUUUGAAAAAAUAUUGGAUUGGUGUGGACAAUGAGGAGAAAUAUCUUGAUGGUGAGAUAUUUUUCAAUUAAUCGCUAGUAGUUAUAGUCGUCUUUUGUUUUCCUCAGUAAUGCUAUCAUUGAGAUAUCUCUUGGAAGUAUUCUGUUGGUGAUUGCCAACUAGUGACUGAUCUUCUGGAAAUCAAGCUUCUUAUACUCAUUUUGCAAUGUGGAACAUCAAGGAUGGCCUGAAAAUUCUCGGGCAACCGAUGUUCUGAUUUCCCUUUUAUGUUUGAGAUGAAAAGACCUUUAGAAAGCUGCUUAUUUAUUUAUUUAUUGUUGGAAUUAAGUAGUCAUAUGUCCCACUCUUUCUCUUUCUUUCAUGAAACACGGUGGUAUAGAUAUAUAUGUGUGCAUAUAUAGAUAUAUACAUACAUAUGUGUAUGAUAUACUACUUGCAAUCAAAUUGUCCUUAAUUUUGUAGUUCUCUUUUUUCCCAGUGUUGACAUUGAGAUUUCUCUUGGAAGAAUUCUUUUGGUUAUUGCCAACAAGUGACUGAUCUUCUGGAAAUCAAGUUUCUUAUACUCAUUUUGCAAUGUCGAACAUCAAGGAUGGCCUGAAAAUUCUAAGGCAACAGACGUUCUUAUUUUCCCUAUUUAUGCAGUAGGAGCAGGAGGCAUUUGUUUUUGAACAAGCUUGCAAUCACAUUAUUGUUGUUUGUUUUUUAGUAUUUUUAGUAUAAACCGAUAUAUGUUUGCAAAAAUAUGCUUUUGCAAUCUCUACUUGCCCUUUUUUAUGAGGUGGUGAGCAGUAUGAUGAAAGUUUUAAUCUACUGCUGAAUAUUCUUAUUUCUCAACGAAGUAAAUAUGUCAAACAAAUUUUAUUGUCGGUCAUAAGUGGUGUAUCCUAUAUUAGUGGUUUAUUUCA